rnacentral:rRNA from 1 species
GAUGAACGCUGGCGGCGUGCCUAAUACAUGCAAGUCGAGCGAACAGACGAGGAGCUUGCUCCUCUGACGUUAGCGGCGGACGGGUGAGUAACACGUGGAUAACCUACCUAUAAGACUGGGAUAACUUCGGGAAACCGGAGCUAAUACCGGAUAAUCUAUUGCACCGUAUGGUUCAAUAGUGAAAGACGGUUUUGCUGUCACUUAUAGAUGGAUCCGCGCCGCAUUAGCUAGUUGGUAAGGUAACGGCUUACCAAGGCAACGAUGCGUAGCCGACCUGCGUGGGUGAUCGGCCACACGGGAGCUGAGACGCGGUCCAGACUCCUACGGGAGGCAGCAGUAGGGAAUCUUCCGCAGUGGGCGAAAGCCUGACGGAGCAGCGCCGCGUGAGUGAUGAAGGUCUUCGGAUCGUAAAACUCUGUUAUUAGGGAAGAACAAAUGUGUAAGGAACUAUGCACGUCUUGACGGUACCUAAUCAGAAAGCCACGGCUAACUACGUG